CUGAGUUAGCCAGACCAGCACAGACAGAGUUAAUAUAAAAACUGAGCUAAUAGCAAAGCAAUUCUGAAGAGAGCAAUGGCCUUGAGCUGGCUUCAACCCAUGUAGUCCUUUCUGGCAAUUAGGAAGUGUUUGAUGGGAGAAGAGCUCAGAAAAAAAAUGAAAAAAAGGACCACUUCAAAACAUAAAGACUAACAGAGCAACAGAAAGAACACACUUUCUGUGCCUGUUUUGAAAAAAAGAAAAAAAAAAGAUCUGAGGAAGACCAGAACUUGCUGCUUCACUCUGACAACUAUGAUCUGACAACUGGAUGCUUGAUCCAAACACCAAAAAGUGCCUUCAUUACCUACCCCCAUUCCUGUCUUUCCCAUCUUCUAUUACUUUAAACAUAGGAACAGUGCUGGAUCACCUCUGAACUGAAGCUGUGUGCUUAUUACCAGUUUCAUAGCCACAGCUGGGUAACUGCUUUCCAGAAGGAAAUUAAAUCUGCAUGAAAGAAAGGGAAAAAUUAAGCUAGUUUUAAUAAGGUAUGUUUUCUCUAUCUGGAAGUCUUAGAAAAACAGAAAUUGUCAGACCAGAUCACGCUCCAGGUCUGUUCAGCCCAGCAUCCUGUCUCUAACAGCAAGCAGGACAGGCUG